rnacentral:rRNA from 1 species
GAUGAACGCUGGCGGCGUGCCUAAUACAUGCAAGUCGAGCGAACAGACGAGGAGCUUGCUCCUCUGACGUUAGCGGCGGACGGGUGAGUAACACGUGGAUAACCUACCUAUAAGACUGGGAUAACUUCGGGAAACCGGAGCUAAUACCGGAUAAUAUAUUGAACCGCAUGGUUCAAUAGUGAAAGACGGUUUUGCUGUCACUUAUAGAUGGAUCCGCGCCGCAUUAGCUAGUUGGUAAGGUAACGGCUUACCAAGGCAACGAUGCGUAGCCGACCUGAGAGGGUGGACGGCACACACUGGAACUGAGACACGGUCCAGACUCCUACGGGAGGCAGCAGUAGGGAAUCUUCCGCAAUGGGCGAAAGCUUGACGGAGCAACGCCGCGUGAGUGAUGAAGGUCUUCGGAUCGUAAAACUCUGUUAUUAGGGAAGAACAAAUGUGUAAGUAACUAUGCACGUCUUGACGGUACCUAAUCAGAAAGCCACGGCUAACUACGUG